AACAGUCCUUUGUGUCGGGUGAGGACCACUGUCAGCUCACAUCAGGUAAGACCCUUCUGCUCAAUGAUCAUCAGUGUCUCUAAAUCAAACAUGUAAUGAUGUGUGAUUGUGUGUAGUUACAGUUGAUCAAUUUAGGCUUUGACCUUUCAGUAAGUCCUUAAACAUUUUAUGGAUGCAUAAAUCUUUAUGAAUUACUCCAGAUCACCUGUAGAUCUGCACUAGUUUUCAGGUGUGAUGUUUUUGGGAAACAGUUUGUGAUUCUAAGAUGAUGAUAAUUUCUGGGAAAACACUGGAAAAUGGAAAUAAGAGGAAAUAAACCUUUGUUAUUCAUGAGUCAGGGCCAAAGCUAAUUUGAUUUUCCUCUAAUUGUUAGGGAAAUUUGUCCUCUGAACUGGUUUGUGUAUAACUGAAAUACACCAGUGUCUCAAAACUUGCAAUGGCUACAUUUCAGAAAGCUUUUAUAAAAACACCGACUUUCAUCUCUGUUAUUCUGUGUAAGUAACUUUGCUUUUGUUUCGGUACACUGACAAAACCUGUAAAAGUUGAAGUUUAAUU
ensembl:lncRNA